AUAGAGACUCAGAGCUGCAUAUCAAUAAGCGGAGGAAAAGAAACUAACUAGGAUUCCCUCAGUAACGGCGAGUGAAGCGGGAAGAGCUCAAAUUUGAAAUCUUCAAGGUUCUACCUUGACGAAUUGUAGUUUAUAGAAGUGUUUUCUGUUAGUAGAGUGGCAAAAGUUCUUUGGAAUAGGACAUCAUAGAGGGUGAGAAUCCCGUAUUUGGUCAUUCUUUCUAGCUUUGUGAUACACUUUCAAAGAGUCGGAUUGUUUGGGAAUGCAGUCCAAAAUGGGUGGUAAAUUUCAUCUAAAGCUAAAUAUUGGCGAGAGACCGAUAGCGAACAAGUACCGUGAGGGAAAGAUGAAAAGAACUUUGAAAAGAGAGUUAAACAGUACGUGAAAUUGUCAAAAGGGAAGCGUUUGACACCAGUGUUGUUUUUCCGAAAAUCAAUUACGAAUGUUUUAUUUUUGAGAAGUUAUGACUUCAUCGGCUUGCUUCUCUCUUUAUGAAACUUUCUUAAUGCACUUUUCGGUUAACAAGUCAACAUCAAUUUCUUUUGUUGUAAAAGGGUAUGAGGAAGGUGGCUUUCUUUUCGGAGAAAGUGUUUAUAGCCUUGUACCUCUGCAAUCGGAGAGAUUGAGGUCUGCAGCGUAGAUCCUUCGGGGUUAGAUACAUUUGUGCUAAGUUAUAGCUUUUCAUAGACAACUUGUUGACUAUGUUUAGUCUUGUAGCUUACUCGCUUAUGCUAUUUUACCUACGCUUAGGAUGUUGACGAGACUGUCGAUCUC
rnacentral:rRNA from 1 species